UGAAAGUUGUAAGUCUUCUGGUAGCUGUGCCAAGAGAAAUCUCAGUCAUUACGAAUCUCGCAGAGACCGUGAUGGAUCACGAGAAGAAACUUUUGGACCCAGCAGCAUCCUCCACCUCGGGGACAGCAGGAGAGACUAUGGCCAUGAAGCCUUCAGUACAAGUCCAAAUAGGAACAUAGAGGAACUCUGUGCAGAUCCCGCUGUUACCUGCUUCCUACCUGCCGUGCUCUGCCGUGCUACCUGCCUCACGCCACUCAGACACAACCACCUGCUUCUCCUGGAUUCUACUCAGAACGUCUUUGGAUCUGCCACUGCCUGGUUCCCUCAAGCUGCAGUCCAUUCCCAGAAGACUACAAGCUCAGCCUUGAUUGUUCAUCUCCUCUGAGUAAUUAUGCCUAAUAAAUUCUUGAACUGUUUAUCUGUGUCCUGAGUGGUAUC